rnacentral:rRNA from 1 species
CAACCCGCCGAUGACUCGGGGAUAGCCUUUCGAAAGAAAGAUUAAUACCCGAUGGCAUAGUUCUUCCGCAUGGUAGAACUAUUAAAGAAUUCCGGUCAUCGAUGGGGAUGCGUUCCAUUAGGUUGUUGGCGGGGUAACGGCCCACCAAGCCUUCGAUGGAUAGGGGUUCUGAGAGGAAGGUCCCCCACAUUGGAACUGAGACACGGUCCAAACUCCUACGGGAGGCAGCAGUGAGGAAUAUUGGUCAAUGGACGAGAGUCUGAACCAGCCAAGUAGCGUGAAGGAUGACUGCCCUAUGGGUUGUAAACUUCUUUUAUACGGGAAUAAAGUGAGGCACGUGUGCCUUUUUGUAUGUACCGUAUGAAUAAGGAUCGGCUAACUCCGUGCCAGCAGCCGCGGUAAUACGGAGGAUCCGAGCGUUAUCCGGAUUUAUUGGGUUUAAAGGGAGCGUAGGCGGACGCUUAAGUCAGUUGUGAAAGUUUGCGGCUCAACCGUAAAAUUGCAGUUGAUACUGGGUGUCUUGAGUACAGUAGAGGCAGGCGGAAUUCGUGGAGUAGCGGUGAAAUGCUUAGAUAUCACGAAGAACUCCGAUUG